UUUUUUUUCCCCCGGACUAGCAUAUCAAUAAGCGGAGGAAAAGAAACCAACAGGGAUUGCCCUAGUAACGGCGAGUGAAGCGGCAACAGCUCAAAUUUGAAAUCUGGCGUCUUCGGCGUCCGAGUUGUAAUUUGCAGAGGGCGCUUUGGCAUUGGCAGCGGUCCAAGUUCCUUGGAACAGGACGUCACAGAGGGUGAGAAUCCCGUACGUGGUCGCUAGCCUCUACCGUGUAAAGCCCCUUCGACGAGUCGAGUUGUUUGGGAAUGCAGCUCUAAAUGGGAGGUAAAUUUCUUCUAAAGCUAAAUACUGGCCAGAGACCGAUAGCGCACAAGUAGAGUGAUCGAAAGAUGAAAAGCACUUUGGAAAGAGAGUUAAAAAGCACGUGAAAUUGUUGAAAGGGAAGCGCUUGCAGCCAGACUUGCCUGUAGUUGCUCAUCCGGGUUUCUACCCGGUGCACUCUUCUAUAGGCAGGCCAGCAUCAGUUUGGGCGGUUGGAUAAAGGUCUCUGUCAUGUACCUCCUCUCGGGGAGAACUUAUAGGGGAGACGACAUGCAACCAGCCCGGACUGAGGUCCGCGCAUCUGCUAGGAUGCUGGCGUAAUGGCUGUAAGCGGCCCGUCUUGAAACACGGACCAAGGAGUCUAACAUCUAUGCGAGUGUUUGGGUGUCAAGCCCGAACGCGUAAUGAAAGUGAACGGAGGUGGGAACCUUUCGGGGUGCACCAUCGACCGAUCCUGAUGUCUUCGGAUGGAUUUGAGUAAGAGCAUAGCUGUUGGGACCCGAAAGAUGGUGAACUAUGCUUGAAUAGGGUGAAGCCAGAGGAAACUCUGGUGGAGGCUCGCAGCGGUUCUGACGUGCAAAUCGAUCGUCAAAUUUGGGCAUAGGGGCGAAAGACUAAUCGAACUAUCUAGUAGCUGGUUCCUGCCGAGCUCCCCCCCGGAGAAGAAAA
rnacentral:rRNA from 1 species